CAACCCUCAAGCCCUGCUUGGUGUUGGGGACCGGCUGUCCCGCGGGGCGUCUUGGCCUAAGCCCGAGCUCGCCCCCCGCCAGCCGCCCCCGAAAUGGAUCGGCGGCCUCGCCGGCGCCUCCCCUGCGUAGUAGCAACAGAACCUCGCAACGGGAGCGCGGCGCGGCCACUGCCGUAAAACGCCCAACUUCUCUAAG
rnacentral:misc_RNA from 1 species